GGCUCUGUGGCGCAACGGAUAGCGUGUUGGACUUCUAGACUCCGCUUUGGAGAGAUUCAAAGGUUGUGGGUUCGAGUCCCACCAGAGUCA